rnacentral:rRNA from 1 species
GACGAACGCUGGCGGCGUGCUUAACACAUGCAAGUCGAACGGAAAGGCCUUUUCGGAGGUACUCGAGUGGCGAACGGGUGAGUAACACGUGGGUGAUCUGCCCUGCACUCUGGGAUAAGCCUGGGAAACUGGGUCUAAUACCGGAUAGGACCGCACUUUAGUGUGUGUGGUGGAAAGUUUUUUCGGCGUAGGAUGAGCCCGCGGCCUAUCAGCUUGUUGGUGGGGUAAUGGCCUACCAAGGCGGCGACGGGUAGCCGGACUGAGAGGUUGGUCGGCCACAUUGGGACUGAGAUACGGCCCAGACUCCUACGGGAGGCAGCAGUGGGGAAUAUUGCACAAUGGGCGCAAGCCUGAUGCAGCGACGCCGCGUGGGGGAGGACGGCCUUCGGGUUGUAAACUCCUUUCGCCAGGGACGAAGCGUUUUGUGACGGUACCUGGAGAAGAAGCACCGGCUAACUACGUG